CUUCUUCAACUGUUUAUGAAGAAAAUGGGCAGCCAUGGAUGAGUAAACAUUCAGCCAAGCUUCUAUGGCUCAUCUAGGUUUAUUUAGCUAGCUCAGGUUGGAAAUCACCGGAGAUGCUAUCACACUAUCAAGCUACCAUCUGGGGCAUAAGUAUUCAAGUACUCGAGUUUAUGGAAUGCAUAGGAAUUAUGUCUUUUGUUAUAUUAUUCAUUACUAUUAGGGCCAAGUGUGUUGGCCUAUAAUGAGUUGUGAUUCAAUUUGAACAUGCAUAGCCAUAAAUGAUGGCUUAUGAUAAUCAUAUGCUUAAUCAUAUGUAAAUGACAUGUUAUUGCAUGAAUGUGGUUAGUUUAAAUUGCAUUUA